rnacentral:rRNA from 1 species
GACGGAGGGUGCUAGCGUUGUUCGGAAUUACUGGGCGUAAAGGGCGCGUAGGCGGCCUGUUAAGUCGGUUGUGAAAGCCCGGGGCUCAACCCCGGAACGGCAGCCGAGACUGGCGGGCUCGAGACCGGGAGAGGUGGGUGGAAUACCCAGUGUAGAGGUGAAAUUCGUAGAUAUUGGGUGGAACACCGGUGGCGAAAGCGGCUCACUGGCCCGGUUCUGACGCUGAGGCGCGAAAGCGUGGGGAGCAAGCAGG